GAUGAAGAACGCAGCGAAAUGCGAUAAGUAAUGCGAAUUGCAGAAUUUCCGUGAGUCAUCGAAUCUUUGAACGCACAUUGCGCCCCUUGGUAUUCCGAGGGGCAUGCCUGUUCGAGCGUCAUUAUAACCCUCAAGCUCAGCUUGGUGUUGGGGCCUGCUGCACUGGCAGCCCUUAAAAUCAGUGGCGGCGCCAUCUGGCUCUAAGCGUAGUAAUUCUUCUCGCUAUGGAGUCCUGGUGGAUGCUUGCCAUCAACCCCCAAUUUUUCUAUGGUUGACCUCGGAUCAGGUAGGGAUACCCGCUGAACUUAAGCAUAUCAAUAAGCGGAGGA
rnacentral:misc_RNA from 1 species